GCUGUGAUUGAGGGAGAAAAGCAGGAGUAUAAGUUUCCAACUUCCCGUUGCCGGCGUCACUUUCUAAGCCGGCCAGCAGCGGUGAGUCUCCACGUCUCCUUCUUUUCACUCCGGUGUCUAAACUUCUCCAAAAUGAGCUUCCAGAGAACCUCCAUGCAGAGCCGCUCCGCACCCAAGUACAGUUCCGCCAGCAUCUACGGCGGUGCUGGAGGAAUGGGCUCCCGCAUUUCCUCCGUUUCCACGUCUUCCCUGCGUUCUGGUGCCCCGAUGUCCUCCUCCUCCUCUUCUUCUUCCUACAAGCUGAGCAGCGGGAUGGGUGGUGGCAUGGGUUCAGGUUUUGGAGGUGCCGGUUUUGGAGGUGCCGGCUCUGGUGGCGGCGGCGGCGGCAGCAUCAUGGGCAACGAGAGGGGAGCCAUGCAGAACCUGAACGACCGCCUGGCCAACUACCUGGAGACGGUGAGGAACCUGGAGCAGGCCAACAAGGAGCUGGAGAUGAGGAUCGUGGAGGCGAUGGAGAAGGGAGGGCCCAACGCGAAAGACUACAGCAAGUAUCAGCCCAUCAUCGACGACCUCCGCAACCAGAUCUUCGAUAAGAUCGGGGAGAACGCUCGCUUUGUGCUCCAGAUCGACAACGCCCGCCUCGCUGCCGACGACUUCAAAGUAAAGUUCGACAAUGAGAUGGCGAUCCGCCAGUCUGUGGAGGCCGACAUCGGCGGGCUGAGGAAACUCAUCGAUGACACCAACAUGACCCGGAUAAACAUCGAGAGCGAGAUCGAGGCCGUCGGGGAGGAGCUGGCCUUCCUGAAGAAGAACCACGAGAACGAGGUGAUGGAGCUGAGGAACCAGAUCUCCCAGUCAGGCGUGCAAGUGGACAUCGACGCUCCCAAAGGUCAGGACCUGGCCCAGGUCAUGGAGGACGUGAGGGGCAACUAUGAGAAGAUGGCCGUGAAGAACGCAGAAGAUCUCAAGCGGUGGCAUGAAAAUCAGAUCGCGGAUGUGCAGGUGGAGGUGUCACAGAACACAGAAGCCCUCCAGGGAGCCCAAAUGGAGAGGAGUGACUCCACCAGACAGAUACAGACCCUGGAAAUCGAACUGGCAUCCCAACAGAGCUUAAAAGCCUCCCUAGAGGACACAUUACGCAACACAGAGCAGCGAAACAACAUGGAAAUGGAGAGGUACAACGGCAUCAUCAUCCGCCUGGAGGAGGAGCUGACCAACCUGCGUUCAAACAUCCAGAAUCAGACCCAGGAGUACGAGGCGCUGCUCAACAUGAAGAUGAAGCUGGAGGCCGAGAUCGGCACCUACAAGACCCUGAUGGACGGCGGAGACUUCAAGUAAGAAUUAGGUGGUGGAGGAAAAAAAACAGAUCCGGGCAAGAUGUUGAUGGUGUCGGAGGCUGCAGGACGCGCUGGACGAGCUGGCCGCAAUCUAAGUUGGAACAGAAGAAAACACAACUAUUCAUAAUGGAAAAAAUAAACCACAACUAUUCAUAAUGGAAAAAAUAAACCACAACUACUCAUAAUGGAAAAAAUAAAUACAUGCCGGUCCAAUUAUCUCGAGCCAAUUGUGAACCCAGAGCACAUUCAGUGUAAACCAUAAAUGAGUUCAGCAGUUCUGAAUAAAGGCGUUUGACCUCACUGCAGUGAAACAUUUGAAAAGCAACCAUUGCCCAAAUAAAAAUGAAUU